rnacentral:rRNA from 1 species
GAUGAACGCUGGCGGCGUGCCUAAUACAUGCAAGUCGAGCGAAUGGAUUAAGAGCUUGCUCUUAUGAAGUUAGCGGCGGACGGGUGAGUAACACGUGAGUAACCUGCCCUUGACUCUGGGAUAACUGCGGGAAACUGUAGCUAAUACCGGAUACGACCAUCGGCGGCAUCGCCAGGGGGUGGAAAGAAUUUCGGUCAAGGAUGGACUCGCGGCCUAUCAGCUAGUUGGUGAGGUAACGGCUCACCAAGGCGACGACGGGUAGCCGGCCUGAGAGGGUGACCGGCCACACUGGGACUGAGACACGGCCCAGACUCCUACGGGAGGCAGCAGUGGGGAAUAUUGCACAAUGGGCGCAAGCCUGAUGCAGCAACGCCGCGUGAGGGAUGACGGCCUUCGGGUUGUAAACCUCUUUUAGUAGGGAAGAAGCGAAAGUGACGGUACCUGCAGAAAAAGCACCGGCUAACUACGUGCCAGCAGCCGCGGUAA